CUUCCUUUUUUUUUUUUUAAAGGUAAUUUACAAGAUUAAAAUUAAAUUUGGUUGAUGAUGGUCUGGACAAAUACAGCUCUUUUAUUUGAGGUAUGCCAUUUUGAAGACAGCCCAUGGAGCUUUAUCCUUGAGGACAAAGGAAAUCUUUGCAAAAGUCUGUUGUUUUAUAUAGCAAAAAUGUGAAUCCUGAGAAUGAAUUCUCUAAAGGGCCUGUACAACGUAAUAGAUGUUGGUGGAAGCAUGUACACCCAGUCAGCUUGAAGAGUCUCAAAUGGACCCUACCACUGAGAAAUCAAGAUGGCAGUCCACUAUGGGGAAUUGAGGAAAAUGGAUUAAUACAAGAGUGCUGUGAUAAUAUACAACCAAGACAGGGUUCUUUUAACAUGGAUUUCAUGAAAUGAAUGAAGAUAUAGGUUUCUUACCCAACACAAGUGGACAGUGGAUUUGACUUGCCAAAGACUUUUUGUAUCAUUAAAACAAGUACAUUUUUGACAUUUGGAGAAGAAAGAUGGCACAUUAACACAGAUGAUAGUUUGUAUGCCUGGAAUUUUUUGCAGUUUGAUUUGUAUGAGUAUGACCUUAUGGAAUGUUACCUUUAAUAAAAUUUCCAACACUUUAAAAUUU